GUAACCCUGCAUUUCCUGUGGCUAACUCACCCAGUCUGCACAUCCCUGGACACUGGGCAAUUUAGCAUGGCCAAUCCACCUAAACUAUACAUUUUUGGACUUGAAAUUGGAGCAAACCCACACAGGCGCUGGGAGAUAUGUAAACUGCACACAGACUGUUGCCUGAGGAUGGAAUCAAACCUGGGGCCUGGCGCUGUGCGGCAGCAGUGCUAACCACUGUUCUGUCGUAUUAUAGGGAGCAGACCAUCUCAUUCACUUUCAAUUCAUUCAAUCCUAGAUCUUUGCGGUUUUUUUUUGCCAUAUGCUUACUGCUUUACUCCUUAAAAUAUUUGAAACUGUGUGCCCUGAUCAUGUUGUCUCCCAUCUCGUAGGCUUUGAUUUCCUCACUGGGGACCCUAUGCCUUGGUGUUCUCUCAGUACCCUAUUGCUAGCUGGCCAAAUGAGAUUAACUGGGAUGUUCACUGCACUUGUUCUUACUAAGCUUCAUAGAGAAGAUAGAUUUAAGAAUUGUUGAGAGGCCAGGUCAAUUUUUACUUCACAAGUAAAAUGACUCAUUUACUGCAAUAAUAGUUAUACAGCCAUGAUAAUUAUGAAUGGAUCAAAUUGAAGCAGGUGCGCUGAUGACCUAGGUCUUUGUGUACAGGGCAAAUGCCCAGCAUUUGAGGAUGAUCUGAAACAUGGCAAUAUUGUGAACUGUGAGGAGGAUAGUGUAGAACAUUGACAAGGUGGUGGAAUGCCACACAUGGUGAAUGUAAUUUAGUGCAAAAUGUGAAAUGAUCAAUUUUUUUCAGGAAGAACAGAGACAAAGGUGCAAUUCUGAAGGUACAGGUGCGAAAGGGCCAGGGUAUAGUGUGCAAACAUUUUUAAGAUAAGGUAGGUUGAGAGUAAUUAAUAAAGCACACAGCAUCCAAGGCUUCAUUAAGAGAGAAUGAAGUUUAAGCAAGUUAUAUUCAUCAUACUUGGAAUACUGAUUCACCCUCAACUGUAGUAUUGCAUCCAGUUCUGGUUGUUACAUUUUAGGAAAGAUGCAAAGGUGUUAAAGAGGGUGCAAAAAAAGUCUUGAAAUCCAGGAAUGAGGACCUUCAAUUGUAUAGAUACACAUGAGAAUUUGGAACUGUUUUCCUUGAAGUGAAGGUUUGAAAGAAAUUUGAUGCAUUUAAAAUCUUAUGGGGGUUUGUGGAAUCGGGGUUAGGCUAGCAGGGUUGGACAGUGAAGCCGGAGCUGAGGAGGUUGGUGGGUGGAGUAUGAGUUGGGCAGGAUUGGGGUUAGAGUAUGGGUUGUGGUGGGGAAAAUGGUGAGAGGUGUGGAAUUUGGUUUGGGGUGGAAUCUAGAGUGUUUGAAGGGAUAGAGUCUGUGUUGGGCAGUGGGACAGAGUUUGGGGUGUGGAGUAGAGUCUAGGUUGGGAUAUCAGGAAAGAUGUCAGAGUUGGGUUGGGUGUUUGGGGAGAGUCAGGAUUGGAGGUGGGAGACAUUGUGGUUGGGUUGUGGGAUUGAGGGCCAACAAGGAGAGUUGGACUAGGGGGAAGUGAAGUCUGGGUGAGGUAUCGGGUUGGUUGGAGGAGAGUGGAAAGAGCAGUUAAGUUGUGUAGUUACUUAAGAGUUAGUCAUCUUUUAAUCUGUUUAGUGUUUUCCUGAAUAGCUUUCCAGGCAAGUAAGUCAAAUCUUCACAAGUCUUGAUUGUAACUGAAAGUCACAAAUUCCGGUAUAAGAUUUUUUUGUGGUGACUUAUAUAGCUCCUGGGACAAAGACUCUCAUUCUGGAAGAGAUAGUUACCUUGAGAAAAAUUGUAUUUUGCUACUUAAGGUACACAACAAAAUCUGAUUUCUGGUUGGCGCUACAGGGUGGGCACCUGUAAAUUGCCCAUGCUGGCACAUGCUGCUUAACCAAAAUGUGAUGAUUGCAUCUGUAUGACUGACCAUGGGAGAUGGGAAAAUCUCUUCUGUUACACUGUAAUGCAAGGACCCAAGAAUCUUGUGCCUUGCCUUAGUAUCCACCUCUCUUCUUUUGGGCAUUUCCCUUCUGCUUGCUUUCUUAUAUUUCAAACGUUAUUGUAAAAUUCUGUGAAGUUUACUUUAUUCAGUAAUAUAUUGAUUAUGGCUUAUAUCAAAAGAAAUUUCUGCAUUUCAGAGUGAAGCUUCUGAUUUGAGUGUACUUCCCACAUUAUCAGAUAGGGUAGCAAUUGCUGUGAAGCUCAGUGUUCUCGAUUGUUAAACUUAGCAACUAACAGUUGAUAGUUUUGGGACAAAUUGCUUCAUUUUGUGUGGUAAAUGUUUAUUAUUUUGGACAGAACAAGUAAUCCUCGUCAGACUAUCUAUUGUAGCAUGGAGUUCCAGCUUACGUAGCAGGGUAAAGAAUACCAAGCAUUUCAUUUUUAUUCGGUAGGGUAAAACCUAUACUAAUGCAGAGUUUUUUUUUUUUGUUGAGCAGCGCAGAAUAAAGGGGUAGGUUUUGUUAAAUUGCAUGAUUGAUAUGAGUCACAUUCUUGGAACUGGAACUUCGUACCUCAGCAAUCAUAUCUGUAGUGGGAUAUUAUUGAUUGGUCAGAGUUGCUAUUGUCUUGAUAGCAAUAUUCUCCACAGCUGAUGAUUUAUUGGAGUAUGAUUGUUUUUAGUUUGGUGAUUAUGUAGAAAUAUAUUUUCAUUGUUGGAAUGGAAUGUUUAACGAUGACUAGAGGGGAAGGUAGCUUUGAUUCCAGUUUUAAAUUAACCAAUCCACUGUACAAGCCCUGAAUUAGUGGAUAUAAUGAUAUUGCAUAUAUUUUCUGUCAGCAAAUGACACUGUGCUUCAAUAAAUGAGCAGUAGUUAUUAUACCAGGCAACAUGUGGACUGAGGAUGUGGAGUCUACGUUAAUAUGCAAUUAAUUUUCCGGCAAAAUGGCAGCAGGGUAAGUCGUUCCAUUUAGAGCUCCACUCUGCUUGCCAGUUCUCUUUCUCUUUCUUUCUUCCUUUGUCCUUCCCCUUUUUUAUUCUCUCUUCUUCUCUCUCCCUCUGUAGUAGUUCUAUCUCCCACCCCUGUUAACUACCUACCUAAGGAAUCGGGAAGGAGCCAGGUUGUGACCAGGAACGAUGUGGCGGGAGCUGUGUCCUGCGGCGACAGUGGAUAAAGAGUGGCUUGCCCUCACCAGCCCAAUGAGAUGGCCCGGAGCAGGACGCUGGCGGAGGCAUGACGAGGGCUGGAAUGCCCGGAGCGGGAUGGCAGCAGUGGAAAGGAAAAUUGGACUCUCUUAAGCUAUUUCUUUUUAUCUUAUUGUAAGCUAAUGUGAAUGGUGCCAUGUAUGUACGGUGAAGGUAUGCACUUUUCACUGUAUUUAGUCUUUUUAUUUGAACCAGUUCUGAUCAAAGAUGCACACCUGAAAUAUUAACAUGUCUUUUCUCUUUCCAGUCUUGACUCUCAUGCUGUAUAUAUCAACACAUCUUGUUUUUACUUCAGAUUUUGUGUUUAUGUAUAUUUAAGUAUUUUUAUAUUCAUGUUUUUUUGUAACACUGUAGAUUGGUCUCUGUUAGAAACUUCAGUGGAGCCAGUUUUGAAGCAUAUUUGCAAUACUAUACUACAUUUUAUCUUGCAUCUACAGGCUUAAUUCUUUAUUCAGAGUGAAGGCAGCAGCCCUGCAUGACAGGCUCCAAUACAAAGUUGUAUUAUCCAUCUGUAUAGUAGUUAUCUCAAAUAUUGCAGCAUAAUAAUGUGUAGGGUACCAGCACAAUUUUUAAAAAUCAUGGUGAUGUCACAUUAUGUAGCUCAUUGGUAAUCACUUGAAAAGUAUUAUCAAAGUUGGUGUUCAUUGUUCGGUUUUUUUUUUAAAAGAAUGUCUUGUUGUUUCCAGUAUUUGUAGCGUCAAGAUUUAUGGGUAAAUCAAGAGAGGGAUUAGAGUUCCUGCCCCAUCCAUCACCUGCAAAAUUAUAUAUUUCUUCCUAAUCCCUUUGCUCAUGUCUUGCAAAGUAAAAUAAGGUGAAUUUUUGUUGUCAAGGUCAGUAAUUAUUGCCGAUCACUGGUUGUCCAUGUGAAGGUGGUGAUAACCUGCCUUUUUGAACUACUGCUGUCCAUCUGGUGUAAGACCAUAAGAUACAGGAGCAGAAUUAGGCCAUUCGGCCUAUUGAGUCUGCUCCACCAUUUGAUCAAACUUGUUCUACCACCUUUUCCUCAUAACCUUGAUCCCUUUAAUCCAAAAUCUAUCCAUCUCUGCCUUAAAUACAAUCAAUUACUUGGCCUCCACAGUCUUCUAUGGCAGAGUUCCACAGAUUCACUACCCUCUCGCUGAAGAAAUUUCUCCUCAUCUCCGUUCUGAAGAGUUGUACCUUCACUCUGAGGCUGUGUUGUCAGGUCCUAGUCUGUCCUACUGGUGGAAACAUCUCUACAUUCACUCUAUCCGGGUGUCUCAGUAAAUAUCAAUGAGAUCCCCCUUAUCCUUCUAAAAUAACAGUACAGACCCAGAGUCCUCGACUGUUCCUCGUAUGACAAACCCUUCAUUCCUGGGAUCAUUCUUGUACACCUCUAGACCCCAUCCAAUGCCAGCACGUCCUUUCUUAGAUAAGGGGCCCAAAGCUGCUCACAAUUGUGCACCUGCAGAACUGAUAGGAAGGAGGUUUCAGGCUUUUGAUCCUGUGACAGUGAAUGAACAGUAAUAUAGUUUCAAGUCAGGAUGGUUUGUGGCUUUGUGAUGAAAUGCUUAUGUUGGCAUUACCAUGUAUUUGCUGUCUUGUCCUUCUAUUGAGCAGAACUCUUGCACCUUGGCAAGUUGCUGCAGUGCAGUGCACAUGGUACACAGUGCUGCUACUAUGCAUCGGAGGUGAAGGGAGUAAAUGUCGUGGUUGGUGUGCCAAUCAAAAGGGCCAAUGUGUCCUGAAUGGUGUUGAGCUACUUGUGUGUUCUUGAAGCUACACUCAUUGAAGCAAAAAGAGAGUGUUCCAUCAUGUUAUUGUCUUGUGCCUUGUAGAUGGUUGACGGGCUCAAAGAAGUAAGGUGGCGAGGAAUUCCCAUCUCCAGACCUGUAUUUGUAACUGCAGUAUUUAUAUGACCAUAUCAGUUUCUGGUCAGUGGUCACCCCGAGGAUAUCGCUGAUGGGGGAUUCAGUCACGGUAAUGCUAUUGAAUUAGUUAGAUUCUUCCCUGUUGAAAAUGGUCAUUGCUUGGAACUUGUGUGGCAUAAUGUUACUUGUCACUUAUUAACGCAAGUCUAAAGGUGAAAAGGUGAUGCUGCAUGUGGACACAGACUGCUUCAGUAACUCAGGUUUUGAAUGGAACCCAAGUUUCUCCUUUUUCCUUUAUUGCUGCUUUUGCUAUUUACCUUAAAUUUGUGCCCUCACUUGAUCUUUUAUCAGUGAGAAAGUGUUUGUAUUUUUCCCAACUGUGCAGACCCCUCAAUUUUAAGCACGUCCAUCAAAUCUCCUUUCAAUGUUCUCCCAAAAAAAACACCAGUAUCUCCAAUUUAUUUAUCUAUCUCAUCCCCGGAACCAUUAUCAGACUUGAUUCUGCAUCCUUUCUAAUUCCUUUGCGUCUUUGCUGAAGUGUCUGACUCAGACCUGAACACUAUUCCAGUUGAGAUCAAACCAGUAUUCUGUGCAAUCUAAUAGACUUCCUUGGGUCUAUACUCUGUCUCUAUUAAUAAAGCUGUGGAUGAUGCAAAGUUUGUUAAACACUCUCUCAACCUGUGCUGUUAGCUUCUGUGACUUGUGCACCAACACCUACGUUCCUCUGCUCCUGCGCACUCUUGUCUCAAUGUUCAUCCUACCAAAGUGAAUCUCUUCACACUUCUCUGCAUUCAAUUUCAUUUGCCACUUGAUCUCCAAAUUUGUGAUACCCUUUUGAAGGAAAAUUAGCUGUGGCUCGUUUCUUUAGUCGGUAACAUUCUUGCUUCCGAACCACAAGGUAUAGUGCCCACGUUCUCGAGGAUGGAGUGCGUAAAAUGGUUGAAUCCCCAGUGUGUUAAGGAGGGAAGCCUGCAGGUGAGGGAUUCUCUCAUGGCCAGAACUUCCAAGCAAGCAUUAAAGCUAGCUUGGUUGCUGGCAGGGAAGGAUCAUCCCAACAUAUCCUUCACAUAUCUGGAUUCUCCACAGGAUGCCGUGGCAAUCUUGAGACAGCUGCAGUGGAGAAGAGGCAAUUGUCCAGCACCUUCUGUAAUGUGAAUUUGCGUAUAGAAUUUGGGCAAAGAUGCAGUGGUUUCUUUGUAAAAUAUAAUCCUGAGAAAUUCUAAGGUAGAUCCCUGUGCUGCAUGAGCUUUUCCCAGGGACGCCCACUACAAUAAACAUCAGCUGCUGAUGAAAGACCCCAGCUUAGUGAAGGACGUUCUUUGGUCUACCUGAAAUUUGUUGGUCCUCCAUUAUAAAGUGCUGUCCAUGAGUUUGUGUUGCAAACUGGCACGUUACAUGACCUAGGACUACCUGCCAAAGGAUGCAGUCAAGUUUGGCACAGCUACUGCAGAAGCUUAAUGGAAAAAGCCCACUGUCUAAAGACAUCCCCACCAUAGUACCCUGGCCUCAACCGGUGUGAAAUCCCCAGGAUUGUAUGCAGAAAAGAAUGUUUGACAUGAAAUAUAAAUGUAUGUUGUAACUAUGUAAAUGUGGUGAAACACCUGAGUCCCAUGUACUACAUUGAAAGAAAUAAAUGUAUUACUUUAUUUAACAUCAAAUUUGAACUGUUAUGUAAUGGUGCCUUUAUAACUUCUAUAAAUAAAGUAUAUUUUUGAAAAAAAAGUUAGUUGUAGAACAUAGUAUCCAAUGUUUCCGCAGAGAUGUACAAGACUUUGUGAAAUUGACUUGUGGAGUAUGGAUUUUUUUUUCCUUCAUGGGAUAUGGGCAUUGCUGACUAGGCCAGCACUUAUUGUCCAUCCUGAAUUGCCAUGGCUAAGGUGAUGGUGAGCUUCCUUCUUGAACACUACGUUGUAGGGAGCCACAGUUCUAUUUAAGGAGUUCCAGGACUUUGAUCCAGUAACAAUGAAGAAAUUCAAGGUAGGUCCAAGUCAGAAUGAUGUGCGGCUUGGAGGAGAACUUGUGGUAUUGCCAUAUUUGCUUCCCUUGUCCUUCACAGUGAUAAAACUCAGAGGAGCCGUGGUGAGUUACUGAAGUACAUGUUUUAAAUGGUACACACUGCUGCCACGGUGUGUCAAUGAAGGGAAUGAAUGUUCAAGGUGGUGGAUGGGGCACAGAAUCAAGUGGAUUGCAUGGAUGGUCUGUUAGAAGCCGAUGUGAAUGAGUAGGAUAAGCAACAGUGGCAUUUCUUUGAAGUAAGGAGUCUUGGGUAAAAGGAAAAGACAAUAAUACUGUUAAGAGAUGGGGGUGAAAGUAAAUGGGAUAGAAAAGGGAAGGCUAAAGGUUAAGGGAGAAACAGCAUGAACAGGGGAAAAGAAUCUAAAACACAUUAGCAGUUAGUCAUUGGUCAGCCAAUCUGUGAUUGGAGCCAUUGUGUCCCUCUUUGAGCUUGUUUCCUUCUCUGGAAUCAUCUGCCCUGGUGAAGCAAUUCCUGUUGGUCCAGUGUUGAGGUCAAAGAUGAUUUUCUUCAAGUAGGAUUUCGGGAUACCUUUGAAACAUUUCUGUUGGCCACCACGUGUUCUUCGGCCAGUUAUGAGUUAGGUGCAAAGCGCGAUUUGGGUUUACACCCUUUGUUAAGCAGAUAUUAAAUUAGUUAGAACUUUGAGGCCUCAGCAUUUUUCUUUUAACAUGUUCUUUGUAGGUGGUAUGAUCUGCAGUCAAAACCAAACAAAGUGGCAAAGAACAGAGGUCAGCUGCAACUUGCAUUUGAGUUCCUACGUAACAACAUGACAGCAAGUUCAUAUGAGCUAUUGAAGAGAAGACCUCAGUCUGUGUUUGAUAAGUUUAAGGACAAAGUAACUUCCUUAAAGUAUGGAAUGACUCAUGAGAUUUUACCAUCUGAAAAGCCUAGCACUAGCCUGAAGCAUCACAAAAAUGGAAAAAUGUCAAAAUCGCUCAGUCACGUGCAAAUGGACUCCAGGGCUGAAAUAUUUACUGCACCAGAGAUAGACAAGCAAACUGGAUCUGAGGGUCUCUCUCACAUUUUCCACAAACACUUUGGGGAUGAACAACCUAAGAUGCAUUUAAACAAUGCAGGUGUCCAUACAGAAUAUGCAGGUCAAAACCAGUCAGACAAAAUAGCAACUUUGAAGCUGGAGAAAGCAACUGCACUACAGCUACAUCCCAACAAUGUUGAACAUACCGUUUUACCCAAAUGUGCUGCGAAAGCUGAUAGAUCCUAUGUCUCAGCUACUUAUAACUCUCCACUGGAAACUGCAAAGCCCCACCACUUUGAAGAUAACCCAAGGUUAGCAUCUUUUGUAAUCGCUGGUGAAGGACGAGAUGUUUCAUUUGCGGGAUGGAAAGUAAAGCCUACAACUUGUUGCACCCAUUGUUUUCGUCAAGCUAAUUCAAAAAGCAGGUGACCGCUUCAACAUGUCCACAUGCGCUGUAAUGGCAUGCUGUUCACAUCACCUCGGGACUUGCAGCUUGCUUAUGAAAGAACACCUCCACAUACCUUUCUUUAUAUGUGUUCAAUAAAGCAAUGGUGCGCAUCAUG